rnacentral:tRNA from 1 species
GCCUGGGUGGCUCAGUCGGUUGAGUGUCUGACUUCGGCUCAGGCCAUGAUCUCAUGGUCUGUGGGUUCAAGCCCCGUGUUGGGCU